GCCCCGGCAGGCAGAGCAUGGGGCGGGACGGGUCCCGCUCCGCCUCUAAAAGAUGGCGCGGCCCCGGCUCGGCUCCCUGAGGGCCCGGCCGCCAUGGCGGCCCCGGAGCUCGGUGGGGUGAACAGCCUCGUGCUCCCUGAGGGAGAAGCCUCCGGCUGCAGGGACGUGUCGAUGAAAAAGCUGGAAGAGCUGGAGCCAUGGGAUGUGCACGUCCUUCACGACAGCACAGCAGGAGGAAUUAGCAGCCAUCAAUCAUUUGGUGUGCAGACCUCUGAGAUCCGAAGGAGACACAAUUCCAUUUGUUUUCUCCUCUGUCUGGAUUACCUGAGCUCCUCAAAGCUCACUCAACAGCUUACCUGAGCAGAUUCCAGAGUGGGACUCCAGCAAUUAAGUCCAGCACUUAAGAAGAGCCCAGCACUCCUGUAAAUGGAUAACAGGAAUAUCUGUCACUGGAUUAGACAGAAUCAAAAUGAACCCCCUGCUAUUUUCAAAGGUCUAGGAGGUGAGUGGAAACUCCCCCAAAUAAGCCAAAAAAAACGUGUUUAUUUAGCUUCUCCUCUGGAAUAUGGAAUGGUAACUGAGGGGAGGAGCUGGGCAGAGCUGGGUUUCACUCUGUGAGGUGAGGAAAGCAAAUGUGAGCAGCCCUUGGUUAAAAUGCCACCUACACUGGUGGGAAACUCCCCAACCCUCAGGAAUUUAUCAUUAUCAUGGGGACACCCAUGGCUUGCUGUUCCCCCCAGUGCCAGGUGGAAAUUGAGUCAGAAAAGACGUGUUUCUUUCUCAGAAAGGCUUUUCUUAGAUGGGCUCUGCCAGCUGAGCUCAACCCCUCAGUUUGUCAUCUGCAAAAUGGAGGCAGGAUGAAUUUUUACCAGGUUUAAUUAGUGCAAAGUGCUCUCUGUAGCAAAGAGAGCUUUUGGUCCGAGGAUCUCGGGCCAAGUACUCAAAUUACAGAAGCUGCAGCCAGCAGCCCACGCUGCAGAGCCCCUGCUGUGGUCUGAGUUCACGUAAUAAAUACAUCAAUAGGUGAGCA
rnacentral:lncRNA from 1 species